rnacentral:rRNA from 1 species
GUGUCAGCCGCCGCGGUAAUACGUAGGUGGCGAGCGUUGUCCGGAAUUACUGGGCGUAAAGGGUGCGUAGGCGGGUUUUUAAGUCAGAUGUGAAAUUCCGGGGCUUAACUUCGGAACUGCAUUUGAAACUGGAGGCCUGGAGUGCAGGAGAGGAAAGCGGAAUUCCUAGUGUAGCGGUGAAAUGCGUAGAUAUUAGGAAGAACACCAGUGGCGAAGGCGGCUUUCUGGACUGUAACUGACGCUGAGGCACGAAAGCGUGGGGAGCAAACAGGAUUAGAUACCCUGGUAGUCCACGCUGUAAACGAUGAGUGCUAGGUGUAGGGGGUAUCGACUCCCUCUGUGCCGCAGUAAACGCAAUAAGCACUCCGCCUGGGGAGUACGGUCGCAAGACUAAA